GUUUACCGUUAGACCCGAUAACGUGUUUUUACGCAUGACCUUAGAUCGGGGAUUUCAAUUUAUGCUUAUCGUCAUACUGUUCUGUCUUUGCUGUAUUCUUUCUAGUCAAAACCCUUCGCCGGGGACCGUAUUCCCAUAACAUAUUGCGACACAAAAAUCUCUGUAUUAACGAUGGACAGAAGUUCACACAUGGAAUAACCUUGUGAAAUGGACAGCUGGCAACUGAUGUGUUCAUUUCACUCCAUGGCAUCGGCUUGGCAGGACAUAACAGUCAUAUCCUACUGGUUUGGAGCUCGUGUUGCACCAUUGCAUAUGAAGACAAUUUUUUUAAAUGAUCAAUUAAAAAUAAAUCGGUGACAACUUGAUGAAGCCUAUGAAUAUGCAAAACUGUUUACAGAACCAUUGCACAUGAAUAAAGGUAGUUGUGGUUCUCACAACUUGAACCAGCACUCGAAUCUGAGCAGUGAGUUUAGUCAGGAGUUUUUUCAGCAGUGCGCAACAUCCCUAUGUUAGAUAGAGAAUAAAGUGUGGAUCUACUUCUGUCAUACAGAAUUGUCAGCUCAUUCUAAAAUAAAGAUGUGGGCUAUUUGUGUCCCAGGGUGUGUGUGCAAGUUUUUAUUCCUGCCCAGCACAAACACCUUGUUCAACUAUCCAUGGUCUACAACUGAGACAACAAUGUUGGAGGUUCAUCUCCUUCAUUUGUCCCCCACUUGGGGAUGACUUAUUCUGUACAAUGGACUGUGUUCUAAGGAUUCAUGCACAGAUACAGGAAAACCAAUAAGUGGUAAUAUUUAUUUAAAAAAUGACAAUUGUUGAUGUCUCGCCAUUCUCCUGGUUUUGAAGCUUGGGCAUCAGGGGGCUGUAGUUCAUCUUUCUAAUACCCUUCAAGGAGAGAAAGGCAAUAAUAGUACAAUAGUGUAUUCAUUUAAUGUAAUAUAUUAUUGUUUUAUAUGCAUGCAAAUAAUUAAAUUGGACAUGUUAUCCUUUACAAUAUGCCCGUGAUUGUUUUGUAUCCAAUGCAUUUAGCUUACAUUAGGAUGAAGUAGCCUAGGCCUUCUAAUCGCGUUAUAUUGCAUCAUAUCGCCUAGCAAUAUUAGUUAUCAAUGCAUGAGUUGAAU